GGGCCCGCACAAGCGACGGAGCAUGCGGAUUAAUUCGAUGCAACGCGAAGAACCUUACCAAGACUUGACAUACGCGAGAACGCUGCAGAAAUGUAGAACUCUUUGGACACUCGUGAACAGGUGGUGCAUGGUUGUCGUCAGCUCGUGUCGUGAGAUGUUGGGUUAAGUCCCGCAACGAGCGCAACCCUCGUCUUAUGUUGCCAGCACGUAAUGGUGGGGACUCAUAAGAGACUGCCGGGGUCAACUCGGAGGAAGGUGGGGAUGAGGUCAAAUCAUCAUGCCCCUUAUGUCUUGGGCUUCACGCAUGCUACAAUGGCCGGUACAAGGGGUUGCCAACCCGCGAGGGGGAGCCAAUCCCAUAAAGCCAUUCGUAGUCCGGAUCGCAGUCUGCAACUCGACUGCGUGAAGUCGGAAUCGCUAGUAAUCGUGGAUCAGAACGUCACGGUGAAUACGUUCCCGGGUCUUGUACACACCGCCCGUCACACCAUGGGAGCGGGUUCUGCCAGAAGUAGUUAGCCUAACCUGCAAAGGAGGGCGAUUACCACGGCAGGGUUCGUGACUGGGGUGAAGUCGUAACAAGGUAACCGUAAGGGC
rnacentral:rRNA from 1 species